GGGUGUGAUUGUGGAAUUACACGAGGCUUCUAACCUUGUAAAGGAGGUUCGAUUCCUUCCAUACCCU
rnacentral:tRNA from 1 species